rnacentral:misc_RNA from 1 species
GAUGAAGAACGUAGCGAAAUGCGAUAAGUAAUGUGAAUUGCAGAAUUCAGUGAAUCAUCGAAUCUUUGAACGCACAUUGCGCCCCUUGUAUUCCGAGGGGCAUGCCUGUUCGAGCGUCAUUAUAACCCCUCAAGCUCAGCUUGGUGUUGGGGCCUGCUGCACUGGCAGCCCUUAAAAUCAGUGGCGGCGCCGUCUGGCUCUAAGCGUAGUAAUUCUUCUCGCUAUGGAGUCCUGGUGGAUGCUUGCCAUCAACCCCCAAUUUUUCUAUGGUUGACCUCGGAUCAGGUAGGGAUACCCGCUGAACUUAAGCAUAUCAAUAAGCGGAGGA